ensembl:lncRNA
CCACACUCAUCUGCCCCCUUAUCAACAGUCAUCUGAACACUAUCAAUACUAUAAAUAAUUAAUCUAUUGUGUCAUUGCAUUAUGAUUCAUGACAUUACAAGGCUGUGCUCCCAUGUCUGGUUCACACAUUCAACUGUAAAAAAGGCACAAUCUGUAGUUUAAUUUGUGUUUAAAGUAUUGAAUAGGCAGGACUGAGCUGUACUCUGACUGGCUGGAAUGGAACGGUUUGUUCCGUGGGUUUUGUUUGAGAAGUUACACAUAUCCCCUUUAAAAUGUAUCUCCAAGCUUCCCUAGAACUAGAUUGUCCAAGGUAUUGAGCUUCCCUAUUGACACAGUAUCAAACUAGAUUGUCCAAGGUAUUGAGCUUCCCUAUUGACACCAGUAUCAAACUAGAUUGUUUCCUCUGCAGAUCCUGACUACUUUGAACAGGAAAUGGUUAAUUACACAUUCCUGAACUUGACAGACUAUGAACUACAAGGAGAACAGGCGGAACAGACGUUUUUAUUUAACCAGGUAGUCUAGUUGAGAACAGG